rnacentral:tRNA from 1 species
GGAUCUAUGGUAUAAAGGUUAUUACGGGGGAUUGUCGAUCCCUUUAUGCGAGUUCGAUUCUCGCUAGGUCCGCCA